rnacentral:lncRNA from 1 species
AAAUACGCAAUUUUGGAAGUUAAUGUAUAGAAAUAAAUUGAAAUGCAAUCAUUAGGAUCUCGAAUCCCCAAUUGACUAUUAAAAACCCUAAUUUCACAAAUUCAACGAAUCGAUGGAAAAAUGCCAAUUCAAUGUUCCUAAACCUAUCCAAUAUACUCUCUCGAUAUAUACUGAAUCUACUCUUGCACACUACCAGCCUAUAUUUCUAUGGAUGAUGCAAUUAUACAAGAAUGCAUGAAUUUUUAUGAACACCUUAUGAAUUGCAUAAAGCAUAGGGGUAUAUUUCUAUCCCCUAUCGAACCCUAUGUUAAUUUAUCUUAUAUCGAAUCUAUUCCCCUUCUUUCGAAUGCAAAGAAUAAAUCAUCUAAACUCACAUAACAUAUGGCCAAUAAUUAUGGAAGCAAUCAAAUCAUAUAAAUCAAACAAUUGUCCAACUGAAACUUUAUAUUGAAUUUAUAAAAUAAAGGAAAUUAAAUAAUCAAAGGUUCAUCGAUUUCCUAAUGAAUAAAAACCCUAGCCUAUGAUCAUAAUUACAGAAUCAAGAAUUAAAACGAAAUUAAAAGAUAUAAAGAAUACACCCGUAUGAUAAUCCUUCAAUUUUGUGUGUAAUCUUCAAUUCCUUCUUGAAUCCUUGUGAAAUCAAGCCCAAGAUUGUGUUUCUUGCCUUCAAAUUGAGUGUAUUUCUUCUCCCUGGUCGUUCAUGCCCUCAAUUUUAUGAUUUUGGGUAUUUAUAUCGCGUAAAAAUCAAGUAGGAAAAGAGUUUCAACGAAAACAAAAAACUGCAACGGAGGCCCCCGAAUUAUCACUAUGCGACCGCAUAGAAGGAUUCUAUGCGGUCGCAUAGACCAAUAAAUUUUCCCCCAACAUUUCCUGCAACCAUCUAUGCGACCGCAUAGAUGGUUACACUAUGCGGUCGCAUAGAUAUAACCAACUAUGUAGUCCUUACAUUUUGGUCCCUGAACUUUCCUUGUUGCUUCUCUUGACUUCUUUCUUCGAUUUCUUCAUCUUUUCAACAAAUGUUAUCCUCCAAUUGAUGAUUGACACCAUCGAAUCUCUUGCCACUCAUUCGGCUCAUCUUUUGAGUAUUUGCGCUUUAGUCCUCCAACUUUUAACUGUCUUCAUUUCAGUCCCUCUUCGGUUCUUUCUUCCUCCACUUGUUUUGCUUUGUCCUUGAGUUCAUACUCAGCAUGUUUUUACCCUCGUUUUGCAUUUAGCUCAACUUCUCAAUAUUUGCACCUUUGGUCCUCGAACUAUCACUUUGUUGAGUUUUGGUCCUUCUUCGACUCUUUUCUCCUGAAUUCCACAAUUUCCAUUGAAAUACCUACAUUGCAUGAAUUUAAUAAAAUUAAGCCACAAUUCAACCAUUUUAUCCAUGUUUAAGUCAUGUUUGUGAACCAAAUAAGUGUGUAAAAACAUACUUAUCAUAGAACUUGGUGCGGUCGCAUGGUUGAAUAUGUUGCUGUCUCUCGAGUUUCGGUAGCCACCUGUGCGACUGCAUGCCUGCGACACGGUGCGGUCGCAUGGAGUUGUGGUUUGGUCUCUUCUUCGGCUACUUGAAUCACUUUGUUUCAUAGGCUUCCGGACUUCGACCCCAACACGAAAGUUGUCACUUAGCUUAUGGACUUCAACAUAGUAUGCUCCGUGCCUCGAUCCAUCAAUUGUGCCACCCGUAUUAGCUUGACGAAGACCCGAACUUGGUUUUGGUUUCUUCUAAUCAAACUCCAAUGCAUUGAUUCGUUUUGGCGAAACCCGUAUCACAUCAAGUGGAAUUGCAACCCCCAUUAUGGCAGGCGAUGUGAAAAAGGAUAACUUGGGUGUUGGUGCUCACAAUCUUGGUGAGGUUCUUCCCGAGGACGAUAUUGAUGAGUAGUAUAAAAAGCGAAUGAUGCUUGGUUACAAACAAAUACCAAAUUCUAUGGUAUGGUUUUCACUUUUUGCUUUAUUUAUUAAUGCUCGACGAGUUUUUUAUUUUUCAACAAGUCACUAAAUUAUUUUUCAACUGGUAUUUCAUUUAUCAUUGUUAAAUAUUGGAAAUAAGAUUGCAGAGUGUCUUUUAUGGAUUACUAUGUUUCUCUUUGAUUGCUUCUUGCAGAACAAUCCACGAAAAGUAUAUUACUAAGAUCCCGUCUGGUUUGAACAUUUUGAGUAUUCAUAUCGAAGCAGCUGGGAUUUGUGUUAUGUUUGGUAUACUGAUCCAAUUUGACCGUUCAUCGAUGGAAUGAUAUUUUUCAUUUUUAUGGCAAAUAUUCUUUAUUACUUUAGAUUUUCUGUGUUUUCUUGCCUCGUAAUAAAUAAUAGUUACAUAUCUUAAUCCUCGAAGGAGGAAAAUGUUCGGGCUUGAUGCAGCUGAAUAAAUGCUGGUUUUCUGUACAAUAACGACACUUCGUAUGAUUUGUACAAUAGGGCAUGUUCAGCCAAUUAUGAUUACUUUUAAUUUUGUUAUAUAUUUUAAGAGGAAAUUGGGCCCCAUGCGUCCUAAAUGAGAGAGUUUUGAAAAGAAUAAUGCUAUAGCAUUGGUUGUGUUACAGCAUUGGAUGUGUGAUAUGUUCAAUUAAAGGUGAAAUUAUGUGAUUUAGUUAAUGUAAUUGGUGCUAUUACCUAGAUUGGUAUUAAAUACUAGUGGUGCUAAAUAGAACGACUCUUUUGAAAAUGUGUACUCAUUUUGAAACAAACUUAAAACAUAUUCUACACUUGCCUAUAAUAUUGAACUCUUUAUUUUUUACAGAUUAAACCAUACUUCUCUCGAGGGAUUUGGCUGAUUUGGCGUUCAAUGUUCAUUUACACUAUUUUAUUUUUUUUGGGUAAAUAAUUAUGUAUAGAUCAAAAAUUGAGUAUGACUAUUCUUG